AUGGUUUACAUCGCAAAUGGACAAGUGCUGGACAGCUGGAGUCAGUCUCCAUGGAGAUUAUCUUUGAUAACAGAUUUCUUAUGGGGAACAGCUGAGUUUGUGGUUUUGCUUUUCAAAACUCUGCUUCAGCAAGAUGCGAAAAAAAAAAAAAAGAAGCUAUGGAAACUCAUCUGAUUCCAGAUAUGAUGAUGGAAGAGGGCCACUGGGAAACUCUCCCCAGAGAAUUGGUCGAAUCAAUCAUUUGCGUGGCCCCAGUCCUCCUCCAAUGGCUGGUGGAUGAGGAAGGUAA
rnacentral:lncRNA from 1 species